rnacentral:rRNA from 1 species
CGCGACACCGCCCUUUUCUUUUUCUUUUUCUUUGGAAAACCCCGACGAGCGGCUGGGCUCGGUUAGCCAAAGGAGCAAGCCCUAGCUCGCCCAAAUCCCCGCUCCCCUCCCCCUCGCCGAACAAAUGUCCGACCGCCGCCGCGACAGGGAGAGGCCCCGCGAGCGCGGCGGCUACGACCAGCCGCGGGAGCGCGACCACGACGCCGACCGCCACCGCGACCGGGACCGCGACGUCGACCGCCACCGGGACCGGGACCGCGGCCAGGACAAGGAGCGGGACCGGGACCGGGACUACCGCCGCGCCCGCAAGCGCUCGCGCUCCCGCUCCCCCUCGGCCGACAGGGACCGCGCCCGCCGCCGCCGCUCCCACUCCCACUCCCACCCCCACCGGUCACGCUCCCCCGACGCCGGCCGCCACAAGCGCCGCCGCGAGGGGUCGCCCGUCGCCGACUCGAAGGAGGACAGGAAGCCGGAUCCCCCCAAGGCCGCCGAGGAGGCGGCCGCCCCGGUGGGCGACGGGGACGUGGACGCGGAGGAGCUGGAGAUGAUGAAGAUGAUGGGGAUCCCCGUCGGGUUCGACUCCACCAAGGGCAAGUACGUCCCCGGCGCCGACGUCAGCGGCGUGCGCGCCGUCACCAAGCGCCAGCCGCGGCAGUACAUGAACCGCAGGGGCGGGUUCAACCGUCCCCUGCCGCCCGAGGUCAACCGCUGAGGAGGAUCAUGUAUCACUGCAGUAUACCUCGUUGCUGGAAUGCAAACUUGCGGUUGAUUACUAGACUUCUUUGCUGGCCAUAGCAAGGAUUGAGCUUCUACUGUCUACCAAGCAUGUAUAACCUUGAUGGCUAGUUACUUUGCCAAACUUUGCAGACUGAGACAUGUAGUUCUCGUUUUCAUCAUUUGCUCUGUCGACAUUCCAGGGAAAGAUAUUGGUGGCGUGUUUUUGGAAAUGUGGUUUAGAAAAUUACAUGAUGUUUCUGCACAUAAUUUGGUGAGCGUCAAGAGCAAUGUUUGUAUAUUUCACCUGCCUCUCUAUUGCCUGCGCUUACAUUUGUGCUUCUAUCUUAGUAUGUUUUUCAGGCAUGCACCACAUGGAAUGGAACUUGUGAUGAUGCAAAUGUGUCCGCAUCAUUAUUACAGUUAUGAAGAUCAUAAUGCUGUUCUACGUAUCUGCUGUACCAUUGUUUUCAUAGGACAACCGUGUGAUUUUACCUGUUUCUGUGUGCUAAAUUGGAUUGAUCUAUGGCGGUGAAUCAUCGGUGCAACAUGGCAAAAAAGAAGUCAUUAUUCCUUACAGAUGGUUAAUUUACAGGAAUAGUUUGAUUUCCA